AGGCAGCAGUGGGGAAUAUUGCGCAAUGGGCGAAAGCCUGACNCAGCGACGCCGCGUGUGGGAUGACGGNCUUCGGGUUGUAAACCACUGUCGCGAGGGACGAAGAUCUGACGGUACCUCGAAAGGAAGCACCGGCUAACUCUGUGCCAGCAGCCGCGGUAAUACAGAGGGUGCGAGCGUUGUCCGGAAUCACUGGGCGUAAAGGGCGCGUAGGUGGCCUGGUAAGUAGGGGGUGAAAUCUCGAGGCUCAACUUCGAGGCUGCCUCCUAAACUGUCAGGCUUGAGCAGAGUAGAGGCAGGUGGAAUUCCCGGUGUAGCGGUGGAAUGCGUAGAGAUCGGGAAGAACAUCGGUGGCGAAGGCGGCCUGCUGGGCUCUUGCUGACACUGAUGCGCGACAGCGUGGGGAGCAAACAGGAUUAGAUACCCUGGUAGUCCACGCCGUAAACGAUGGGUACUAGGCGCCGGGGGGAGCGACCCCUUCGGUGCCGUCGCUAACGCAAUAAGUACCCCGCCUGGGGAGUACGGCCGCAAGGCUGAAACUCAAAGGAAUUGACGGA
rnacentral:rRNA from 1 species